GUGAAUAUAGCGCAUCUCUUCGGAGAGCGUGACCUCCACUUUCAACUCUGUGCAUUUUUGGCGAGGGAACGAGACGAAGCGACGCAAGUUGCAGACUCUCGCCUCUUGCGGCUCAUUUUAAACACUAGUUAAAGUAUGUAACGAAAUAUCGAAACAAAAAA
rnacentral:misc_RNA from 1 species